rnacentral:rRNA from 1 species
CCUACGGGAGGCAGCAGUGAGGAAUAUUGGUCAAUGGGCGUAAGCCUGAACCAGCCAAGUCGCGUGAGGGAUGAAGGUUCUAUGGAUCGUAAACCUCUUUUAUAAAGGAAUAAAGUGAGGCACGUGUGCCUUUUUGUAUGUACUUUAUGAAUAAGGAUCGGCUAACUCCGUGCCAGCAGCCGCGGUAAUACGGAGGAUCCGAGCGUUAUCCGGAUUUAUUGGGUUUAAAGGGAGCGUAGAUGGGUUGUUAAGUCAGUUGUGAAAGUUUGCGGCUCAACCGUAAAAUUGCAAUUGAUACUGGCAGUCUUGAGUACAGGUGAGGUAGGCGGAAUGCGUGGUGUAGCGGUGAAAUGCUUAGAUAUCACGAAGAACCCCGAUUGCGAAGGCAGCCUGCCGCAGCGUUACUGACGCUGAAGCUCGAAAGCGCGGGUAUCGAACAGGAUUAGAUACCCCUGUAGUC